GACGAACGCUGGCGGCGUGCUUAACACAUGCAAGUCGAACGGAAAGGCCCUGCUUUCGUGGGGUGCUCGAGUGGCGAACGGGUGGAUAGCACGUGAGUAACGUGCCCUAGACUCUGGCAUAACUUCAGGAAACUGGGGCUACUACCGGAUAGGCGCUCCUGCUCCGCGGUGGGGUUUGGAAAGUUUCGGCGGUUGGGGUUGGAGUUGCGGCUUAUCUGCUUGUCUGUCGGGUAGUGGGUGAGCAAGGCGUUGACGGAUAGGGGGCCUGGGAGGGUGACCGGCGACAUUGGGCCUGCGCUACGGCCCAGACGCCUACGGGAGGCAUCAGUGGUGAAUAUUGCACUAUGGGCGGAAGCCUGAUGCAGCAACGCCGCGUGCGGGAUGACGGCCUUCUGGUGGUAAACCGCUUUCGCCUGUGACGAAGCGGGAGUGACGGUAAUGGGUAAAGAAGCACCGGCUAACUACGUG
rnacentral:rRNA from 1 species